GACGAACGCUGGCGGCGUGCCUAAUACAUGCAAGUUGAGCGCUGAAGGUUGGUACUUGUACCAACUGGAUGAGCAGCGAACGGGUGAGUAACGCGUGGGGAAUCUGCCUUUGAGCGGGGGACAACAUUUGGAAACGAAUGCUAAUACCGCAUAAAAACUUUAAACACAAGUUUUAAGUUUGAAAGAUGCAAUUGCAUCACUCAAAGAUGAUCCCGCGUUGUAUUAGCUAGUUGGUGAGGUAAAGGCUCACCAAGGCGAUGAUACAUAGCCGACCUGAGAGGGUGAUCGGCCACAUUGGGACUGAGACACGGCCCAAACUCCUACGGGAGGCAGCAGUAGGGAAUCUUCGGCAAUGGACGAAAGUCUGACCGAGCAACGCCGCGUGAGUGAAGAAGGUUCUCGGAUCGUAAAACUCUGUUGGUAGAGAAGAACGUUGGUGAGAGUGGAAAGCUCAUAAAGUGACGGUAACUACCCAGAAAGGGACGGCUAACUACGUG
rnacentral:rRNA from 1 species